UUUGAUUCUGGCUCAGAUUGAACGCUGGCCCGGGAUGCUUUACACAUGCAAGUCGGGCGGCGGCGGACUUCGGUCUGGUGGCGAGUGGCGAACAGGUGAGUAAUGUAUCGGAACGUGCCUAGUAGCGGGGAGUUAGCUACGCGAAAGCGUAGCUAAUACCACAUACGCCCUUCGAGGAAAAGCGGGGGACCUUCGGGCCUCGCACGCUAUUAGAGCGGCCGAUAUCGGAUUAGCUAGUUGGUGGGGUAACGGCUCACCAAGGCGACGAUCCGUAGCUGGUUUGAAGGACGACCAGCCACACUGGGACUGAGACACGGCCCAGACUCCUGCAGGAGGCAGCAGUGGGGGUACGGACAAUGGGGGAAACCUGAUCCAGCCAUCCCGCGUGUGCGAUGAAGGCCUUCCGGGUUGUAAAGCACUUUUGGCAGGAAAAGAAACGGCACGGGAUAAUACCCCGUGCAACUGACGGUACCUGCAGAAUAAGCACCGGCUAACUACGUGCCAGCAGCCGCGGUAUGCAUUAAGUGCAAGAAGCGUUAAUCGGAAUUACUGGGCGUAAAGCGUGCGCAGGCGGUUCGGAAAGAAAGAUGUGAAAUCCCAGGCUUAACUUUGGGGCAUUUUUAACUACCGAGCUAAGAGUGUGUCAGAGGGAGGUGGAAUUCCGCGUGUAGCAGUGAAAUGCGUAGAUAUGCGGAGGAACACCGAUGGCGAAGGCAGCCUCCUGGGAUGCUGACGCUCAUGCACGAAAGCGUGGGAGCAAACAGGAUUAGAUACCCUGGUAGUCCACGCCCUAAACGAUGUCAACUUAGCUGUUGGGGCCUUCGGGCCUUGGUAGCGCAGCUAACGUGGUUGACCGCCUGGAGUACGGUCGCAAGAUUAAGGAGGAAAAGAAAAGAAAAGAGAAAAAGAAAAGAAAAAAAGAAAAAGAAAAGAAAAAGCCGAGGAAUUGACGGGGACCACACAAGCGGUGGAUGAUGUGGAUUAAUUCGAUGCAACGCGAAAAACCUUACCUACCCUUGACAUGUCUGGAAUCCCGAAGAGAUUUGGGAGUGCUCGCAAGAGAACCGGAACACAGGUGCUGCAUGGCUGUCGUCAGCUCGUGUCGUGAGAUGUUGGGUUAAGUCCCGCAACGAGCGCAACCCUUGUCAUUAGUUGCUACGAAGGGCACUCUAAUGAGACUGCUGACGUGACAAACCGGAGGAAGGUGGGGAUGACGUCGAUCCUCUGUGGCCCUUAUGGGUAGGGCUUCACGUCAUACAAUGGUCGGGACAGAGGGUCGCCAACCCGCGAGGGCAAUCAGAAACCCGAUCGUAGUCCGGAUCUAUUGAUGCAACUCGACUGCGUGAAGUCGGAAAUCGCUAGUAAUCGCGGAUCAGCAUGUCGCGGUGAAUACGUUCCCGGGUCUUGUACACACCGUCACACCAUGGGAGUGGGUUUUAGUAAGUUAGCCUAACCGUAAGGAGGGCGAUUACCACGGUAGGAUUCAUGACUGGGGUGAAGUCGUAACAAGGUAA
rnacentral:rRNA from 1 species